rnacentral:rRNA from 1 species
UACGGGGGGGGCAAGCGUUGUUCGGAAUUACUGGGCGUAAAGGGCGCGUAGGCGGUUUGCCAAGUCGAAUGUGAAAACUCUGGGCUUAACCCAGAGCCUGCAUUCGAUACUGGCAGGCUAGAGUUCUGGAGGGGAUAGCGGAAUUCCUGGUGUAGCGGUGAAAUGCGUAGAUAUCAGGAGGAACACCGGUGGCGAAGGCGGCUAUCUGGACAGAGUCUGACGCUGAGGCGCGAAAGCUAGGGGAGCAAACAGG